rnacentral:lncRNA from 1 species
GUGUGGGAAAUAAUGUUUUGGAAAUGAAUAUCCAGGACUUGUAAGAGCUGAAAAUAAAUAUCUUACAUUGCAGAAGACAAGGGGUGUGAAUUUUCUGCAAUAAAAAAUGAGAGAAAGAAAUAAUUCAGUUUAAAAGCAUAGCAAAACGUUCCGAGAUACAAACAAAAUCAGAAGACAAUGGGUGUGAAUUUUCUGAAAUACAAAAUCAGAGAAAGAAAUAAUUCAGUCCAAAAACAUAGCAAAACGUUCCGCGAUACAAACAAAAUCAGAAGACAAGGGGUGUGAAUCUUCUGAAAUACAAAAUCAGAGAAAGAAAUAAUUCAGUCCAAAAACAUAGCAAAACGUUCCGCGAUACAAACAAAAUCCUGCGAAGCAAUAUAUCUAAAUGAAUUACCAAUCCACAAACAUCCCUCAAUGGUGGCAUCUUUAUACACACCCAACAUUAAAACGUGCUUUUUAUUUAAUUGACAAUUUGGCUGUGAAGGUUAACUGGAGAAGACACCAAUAGGACGCUGCUUCAUAUGUAUAUCUAAAGACCGCUUCUGGAAUAACCGUCAAUCUCUCGAUACUGAUGGAUUUUGGCAUCGAAAUUCAUGACUUUGCAAAUUGAUAUUAUUAUUAUAGUACGAUUGGUUAUUUUAAAAAGUUCUAUGACGAAGGUUUAUUUUAUGACCUUAAGUGUGAUGCCCGGUCGGCCAAAUUAAAGUUUCAAAAAAUUAAUCACUAGUCUAUUUUAAUAUUGG